GGUGUUGUAGCUCGGUGGUAGAACACUUGCCUCACAUGCAUGAGGCACAGGGUUUGAUCCUCAGCACCA
rnacentral:tRNA from 1 species